CUGCUCUGUGUUUGUCAUAGCCAGAAAAUGUCUUUUUACAAAGGGCACAGGAGGAACCUGUACUAUGGAACCCAUCACAUUAAAAACAAAUCGGAGGAAAACGACUGACAAAAAUCCUUGACCGACUUUAUUGAUUGUGAGUUCUGAUCCAUAGACAGGAUGUUUAGCUUCCACACCAGAGGGCUUGGAUUUCAAGGGAUUCUGAUGUCACAGUGCCUCUCUGGAUCUCUCAGGCCGUGUGUGAACAUUUCCCCCUCUGUGGUUGGGUGGCCUUUAUCCCCUCCCCCAUAGCAUGAUGUUUUGUCUGCUUGUAUGUUUGAGCAUCUCAUGCACAUGCCCAGUACCCAUGAAGACCAGAAGAGGGCAUGAGAUGCUUCAGUGUUACAGAUGGUUGUGAGCCACCUUGUGGGUGCUGAGAACUGAACUCAGGUCCUCUGCAAGAGCAGCAGCCUUUCCAUCCCUGCUUACAUGGAGGAUGAGUGGAUGCCAUGAAUGGAUGUCGAAGAUAGAGAUGGAGGUGGGAGGGGCACCCGGGCCUUGCACAGGACCUCAGGAGUCAUUUGGCCAAGGUCAGCCUGAACCCGAGAGGAGGCCAGGCUCACCGGGUUUCCAGAACAAUGUUUUGUCCAUUUGUGUCGCCACACCUCAUAUCACAACACUUCGUUCUACUUCUGAAUUUUGGGUCUAAACUACGGAAGACCAACCAAGGCUCUCAGAACAUGAGGUCUUGGGGCACCAAGGAACGAGUUACAGCGUCAGGAAAACAGCGUCACCAUGCAACACACAAAACAACCCUGUUUUGUACCAGAUGCAUCCUCUUACUCUCCGAAGCUGCCCUUCUCACACACGCAGUUGUUUUUCACAGACUGAGGCUCCUGCGGUUGAAUUUUGGGAUGUGACAACGGGGUGUUCCAGUAUACAGACGUCCAGGAGAGUCAGCGACUUGGCAAAGAGGAGAGCCACUGUACGGAGUGAUGAGGAUUAUGGGUAAACACCAAGGCUGGACUGCAGCACGGUUUACGACCACGAAUAUUGUCCUCCAUUGUAAGCAACAGACUUGGAGUAGCCGAAUAGUCGGGAAACUGUGACUUUAAUUUUUCUAAUAUCUCUUGCUCCACCGUCUGCUGGGUGUGUGUUUGAGCCACAAACGGUACCUGGAACAUUAUGGUGCUGUUCUUGGUUCCAUCCUCAACAUUCAGUUUUCCCCGACAAACGGCUUCCCAGUCAGUUAGAACCCGCCAUUCCUUCUCACAGGAUCCCAGGCCCGGUGCCCACCGUCGUCUGGAGAAUCGCCCCCCACCGUCAUCCCGAGAAGUCCCUGAGUUAAAGGAUCAGGGAUUGGACCUCAUGACCUGUUAUCUUUACACUUCCUGGUGUGAGGAGGCCGUUAGCUGAGGCAGGAGACUGUCCUCUGACACUGAGCUCCUUCAGAACUGGUGCAUUAUGGGACCUUUAUGAAUCAGUCUCAUUAUACUCGGGAGUCAGCUGGUAUGAACCCCUGUCUUAAUCGUGAUUCUAUGGAGGCGAUUGACGGGUCUAGUAAAACAUCAGCGACUUCCACGCAUUAGAAGAGAUGUUUGGAUGAGUUUCAGCUUCUGCAUCCCGAGCUUGCUCUCCCUGCACCCAAAGGAGUUUACUCAGUGGCCGAGGACUCACUG
rnacentral:lncRNA from 1 species